rnacentral:rRNA from 1 species
AUUGAACGCUGGCGGCAUGCCUUACACAUGCAAGUCGAACGGCAGCGGACCUUCGGGUGCCGGCGAGUGGCGAACGGGUGAGUAAUAUAUCGGAACGUACCUUUCAGUGGGGGAUAACGUAGCGAAAGUUACGCUAAUACCGCAUAUUCUGUGAGCAGGAAAAGCAGGGGAUCGCAAGACCUUGCGCUGAUUGAGCGGCCGAUAUCAGAUUAGCUAGUUGGUGAGGUAAAGGCUCACCAAGGCGACGAUCUGUAGCGGGUCUGAGAGGAUGAUCCGCCACACUGGAACUGAGACACGGUCCAGACUCCUACGGGAGGCAGCAGUGGGGAAUUUUGGACAAUGGGCGCAAGCCUGAUCCAGCCAUGCCGCGUGAGUGAAGAAGGCCUCGGUUGUAAGUCGUACUUCGGUCCGGACGGAAAGUACGCGACAGGUUAA